rnacentral:rRNA from 1 species
UACAGAGGUGCCGAGCGUUAGGCGGAAUCACUGGGCUUAAAGCGUGUGUAGGCGGACUUCUAAGUACCUUGUGAAAUCCCACGGCUCACCCGUGGAACUGCUGGGUAUACUGGUCGUCUUGAGCCACCUAGGGGCUACCGGAACAAAUGGUGGAGCGGUGAAAUGCGUAGAUAUCAUUUGGAACGCCAAUGGUGAAAACAGGUAGCUGGGGAUGUGCUGACGCUGAGACACGAAAGCCAGGGGAGCAAACGGG